AAGGCCUUCGGGUUGUAAAGCACUUUAUCAGGAGCGAAAUACUACCGGUUAAUAACCGGUGGGGCUGACGGUACCUCCGAGGAAUAACGACACCCGGCUAACUUCGUGC
rnacentral:rRNA from 1 species